rnacentral:rRNA from 1 species
AUGUCAUCGCUAAUUAACUUAAUAUGCUUACUGAUAGCUUUUGUCGGGAACCUCUCCAUUAGCCAGCUCUGCCAGCCGAACAGGAUCAUCACAGCGGUGAAUGGCCAGCUACCAGGCCCGACGAUUCGGGCCCGCGAGGGUGACACGGUGGUUGUACACCUCGUCAAUGAAUCGCCAUACAGCAUGACCAUCCACUGGCAUGGCAUAUUCCAGCGUGGCAGCCAGUGGGCAGAUGGACCGGCAAUGGUUACACAGUGCCCCUUCCAACCAGGAGGCAACUACACGUAUAGCUUCAACGUCACCGGGCAGGAGGGCACGUUGUGGUGGCAUGCCCACUUCUCCUUCCUUCGUGCCACCGUCUAUGGGGCGCUCAUCAUCCUGCCCCGUGGCGGCGCCAAGGCCUACCCCUUUGCCAAGCCAGACAAGGAAGAGCAGAUGGCGCUCCUCACCGGAAUCCCUGCGGGGCCAGCCGAUGCCUACACCAUCAACGGCAAGCCGGGAGACUUCUACCACUGCUCUGCCAUGCGCAAUCUGUGUGAGCCUAUCCGGAAGAACGAGACGUACCUGCUCCGAAUCAUCAACGCUGCGCUCAACACGCCUCUCUUCUUCAAAGUGGCGAACCACAGCUUCACCGUGGUGGCGGCGGACGCGUGCUACACCACGCCGUACAAGACUGACGUCGUGGUGGUCGGGCCCGGGCAGACCGUUGACGCGCUCAUGGUCGCGGACGCCGCCGUCGGCCGCUACUACAUGGCAGCGUCCCCCUACGAUAGUGGGAUACCGUCGGGGCCGCCGUUCAGCAAGACCAACGCGACGGCGGUGCUAGAGUACGCCGGCGGACCGAACACGACAUUGCCGCCUGCGCUGCCACAGUUGCCGCAGUUCAACGACACGGACACCGCAGACCGCACAUGGCCGACCGUGCCACUCGCGGUGGACACCCGCAUGUUCGUCACCGUUGGGAUGGGCGUCGCCGACUGCCAGCCGGAGCAGACGCUGUGCAACCGGAGCCGCACCAUGUUCGCGUCGAGCAUGAACAACGAGUCCUUCGUGCCGCCGAGGAGCACCUCCAUGCUCGAGGCCCACUACAGCAACGCGACGGCCGGCGUGUACACCCGUGACUUCCCCGACCAGCCGCCGGUCGUCUUCGACUACACGGCCGACGCUAGCAACAACGCCACGAUGCAGUACACGACCAAGUCGACCAAGGUGCGGACGCUCCGCUACAACGAGACGGUGGAGAUGGUGCUCCAGAACACGCGACUCAUCGCCAAGGAGAGCCACCCCAUGCACCUCCACGGCUUCAACUUCUUCGUCCUAGCACAGGGCUUUGGGAACUACAACCAGACAACCACGGCGCCGCAAUUCAACCUCGUCAACCCCCAAGAGCGCAACACCGUCCUCGUCCCCGCCGGUGGCUGGGCCGUCAUCCGCUUCAUCGCCGACAAUCCAGGGAUGUGGUACAUGCACUGUCACUUUGAGGCUCAUCUUGAUCUCGGGUUGGGAAUGGUGUUUGAGGUUCAGGAUGGCCCCACACCGGAUACUUCUCUGCCGCCGCCACCUAAAGACCUGCCGCAAUGUUGA